rnacentral:rRNA from 1 species
UACAGAGGUCUCAAGCGUUGUUCGGAUUCAUUGGGCGUAAAGGGCGCGUAGGCGGCCUCGUAAGUCCUGUGUGAAAUCCCCCGGCUCAACUGGGGAACUGCACAGGAAACUGCGAGGCUUGAGUUCGGGAGAGGGAAGCGGAAUUCCGGGUGUAGCGGUGAAAUGCGUAGAUAUCCGGAGGAACACCGGUGGCGAAGGCGGCUUCCUGGACCGACACUGACGCUGAGGCGCGAAAGCCAGGGGAGCAAACGGG